AUACGGAGGGUGCAAGCGUUAAUCGGAAUUACUGGGCGUAAAGCGCACGUAGGCGGCUUGUUAAGUCAGAUGUGAAAGCCCCGGGCUCAACCUGGGAACUGCAUUUGAUACUGGCAGGCUAGAGUAUGGUAGAGGCAAGUGGAAUUCCGGGUGUAGCGGUGAAAUGCGUAGAUAUCCGGAGGAACACCAGUGGCGAAGGCGACUUGCUGGACCAAUACUGACGCUGAGGUGCGAAAGCGUGGGGAGCAAAAAGGAGGAGAAAACAGAGGAGUCC
rnacentral:rRNA from 1 species